GUUUACCUGGCUCAGUUGGCAGAGCGUGAGACUCAAGGUCCUGGGUUCGAAUCCUUCGUUGGGCA